rnacentral:rRNA from 1 species
GACGAACGCUGGCGGCGUGCUUAACACAUGCAAGUCGAACGGAAAGGCCCUGCUUUUGUGGGGUGCUCGAGUGGCGAACGGGUGAGUAACGCGUGAGUAACCUGCCCUUGACUUUGGGAUAACUUCAGGAAACUGGGGCUAAUACCGGAUAGGAGCUCCUGCUGCAUGGUGGGGGUUGGAAAGUUUCGGCGGUUGGGGAUGGACUCGCGGCUUAUCAGCUUGUUGGUGGGGUAGUGGCUUACCAAGGCUUUGACGGGUAGCCGGCCUGGGAGGGUGACCGGCCACAUUGGGACUGAGAUACGGCCCAGACUCCUACGGGAGGCAGCAGUGGGGAAUAUUGCACAAUGGGCGGAAGCCUGAUGCAGCAACGCCGCGUGCGGGAUGACGGCCUUCGGGUUGUAAACCGCUUUCGCCUGUGACGAAGCGUGAGUGACGGUAAUGGGUAAAGAAGCACCGGCUAACUACGUG